UGGCCACAUCCCAUGUAAACACCAGUUCCCAGCCGAUCACUUAAGUUAAGCAAAGUUGAGCCUGGUCAGUACCUACAUGGGUGACCGCUUGGGAAUACCAGGUGCUGUAAG